UCAGCUUUCAACUGCUCUGAAAAGUGCCUCUGUUUACAUGGCAUCAGUGAAUUUCAAAUUGAGUAUUUCUCGGUAGACAAGUAAGAAAAUGGUUUUAACUGAGCAUCAAUCCUGCAGGCUCAGUUUGGGAUCGGAAAUUCAAGCUGGAUUCUUUCAGACUUGUGCAACAUCUCCAGUAAUCAUGACUUAACUGUUACAAAAGCCUGGUGCAACACCCAUUGAAGUCAGUGGAAAGAAUUGCAAAAGAGACUGAGUCCAAGUAACGGGAAUGCUCAAAUCGCAUGUGGAGAAAAGCCCCAGAAUGGAGUAACAGCAAACCCUGGCACAAUGGAGUCUGAUUCCUUAGCUUCCAAGAUCUAAUGUGAAAAAACAGGCUGGCUAUGAAGUCGCACAACCAACAUUGUUACGGUUGCAUUUAUACCUCCAUCGGGAUUAAGGAAAGCUGUGUGCAACACAUCUGAGCCGUAAAAUAAAUGUCCUUUUCUAAAAGA